GGGGGUUUUCUCGAUUGUUAAGUACC
rnacentral:piRNA from 1 species